UACGGGGGGGCAAGCGUUGUUCGGAAUUACUGGGCGUAAAGGGCUCGUAGGCGGCCAACUAAGUCAGACGUGAAAUCCCCCGGCUUAACCAGGGAACUGCGUCUGAUACUGGAUGGCUUGAGUUUGGGAGAGGGAUGCGGAAUUCCAGGUGUAGCGGUGAAAUGCGUAGAUAUCAGGAGGAACACCGGUGGCGAAGGCGGCUAUCUGGACAGAGUCUGACGCUGAUGCGCGAAAGCUAGGGGAGCAAACAGG
rnacentral:rRNA from 1 species